UAACACAUGCAAGUCGAACGAGCGAGAGAGAGCUUGCUUUCUCGAGCGAGUGGCGAACGGGUGAGUAACGCGUGAGGAACCUGCCUCAAAGAGGGGGACAACAGUUGGAAACGACUGCUAAUACCGCAUAAGCCCACGGGUCGGCAUCGACCAGAGGGAAAAGGAGCAAUCCGCUUUGAGAUGGCCUCGCGUCCGAUUAGCUAGUUGGUGAGGUAACGGCCCACCAAGGCAACGAUCGGUAGCCGGACUGAGGGGUUGAACGGCCACAUUGGGACUGAGACACGGCCCAGACUCCUACGGGAGGCAGCAGUGGGGAAUAUUGCACAAUGGGGGAAACCCUGAUGCAGCGACGCCGCGUGGAGGAAGAAGGUCUUCGGAUUGUAAACUCCUGUUAUUGAGGAAGAUAAUGACGGUACUCAACAAGGAAGUGACGGCUAACUACGUGCCAGCAGCCGCGGUAAAACGUAGGUCACAAGCGUUGUCCGGAAUUACUGGGUGUAAAGGGAGCGCAGGCGGGAAGACAAGUUGGAAGUGAAAUCCAUGGGCUCAACCCAUGAACUGCUUUCAAAACUGUUUUUCUUGAGUAGUGCAGAGGUAGGCGGAAUUCCCGGUGUAGCGGUGGAAUGCGUAGAUAUCGGGAGGAACACCAGUGGCGAAGGCGGC
rnacentral:rRNA from 1 species